AAUUUAAUUAUUAUUGUUAUUAUUAAUUUUAUAUUAAGUUUAAAGAAAUAUUUUUUUUUAUUAAUUAUAUCAGAAAAAAUUUAUUUAAUUAUAGUUUAUAGUAUUGUGAAAGAAUAAAUUAUUUUAUUAAAAAGAAAAUUUUAUUUUUUGUACCUUGUGUAUCAGGGUUUAUUAAUAUAAAAUUAAAAAUUUAAUAUUCUCGAAUUUAAAAGAGCUAAAAAUUUAUUAUUUUUAUUAUAGAAUAAAUAUUUUAAAUAAAUUUUUAGUAAUGAAAUGUUAUUCGUUUUUAAAUAUAUCUAGUUUUUUAAGAAAUAAAUUUAAUUUAGUUAUUAAUAAUAUAUUUUUAAUUUUUUAAAAUUAUAUUGUUAAUAAUAAAUAUAUGUAGGGAUGAGCUUAUAUAUUAAAAAUUAUUAAAUAAUAAGAAAUUAAAAAAUUUUAGGAUUAGAAAUUUUCAAAAUUAAAGUAUGUUAUAAUUAAUUUUAUAUAUUUAUAAUUUUUAUUUUUUAUAAAUUAUUUAUUAAAAUAUAAUUAAAAAUUUUAUAUAAUUAGAAAUAAUGAUAGAAUUAGUAUAAUUUUAUAUAUAAAUAAUUAUAUAAUUAAGGUUAAUUAAAGGAAUUCGGCAAAUUAUUUUCCACCUGUUUAUUAAAAACAUGGCCUUUUGUAAAUAAUUUAAGGUCUAACCUGCCCACUGAAGUUUUAAAGGGCCGCGGUAUUUUGACCGUGCUAAGGUAGCAUAAUCAUUAGUUUUUUAAUUGAAAGCUAGAAUGAAGGGUUGAAUGAGAAAAUUACUGUCUUUAAAUAAUUUAAUUAGAAUUUUAUUUUUAAGUUAAAAAGCUUAAAUUUUUUUAAAAGACGAGAAGACCCUAUAGAGUUUAAUAUAAAUUUUUAUAUUUAAAUUUAGAAUUUAUUUUUUUUAUUUAAAAUUGUAUUUAAUUGGGGUGAUUAAAAAAUUUAUUAAACUUUUUUUUAUUUUUAUAUUAAUUAAUAAAUAUAUGAUCCAAUUUUUUUUGAUUAUAAGAUUAAAUUACCUUAGGGAUAACAGCGUAAUUUUAUUAGAGAGUUCUAAUCGAUAAUAAAGAUUGCGACCUCGAUGUUGGAUUAAAAUUUAUAUUUGGUGUAGAAGCUGAAUUAUUAAGUCUGUUCGACUUUUAGAAUUUUACAUGAUCUGAGUUUAAACCGGUGUAAGCCAGGUUGGUUUCUAUCUUUAAAUAAUUAAUAUAUUUUAGUACGAAAGGACCAAAUAUGAGUAAAAUUUAUUUUUUUUGAGUAAUAAU
rnacentral:rRNA from 1 species